rnacentral:lncRNA from 1 species
GGUAGACCAUCUUACAGAUUUGAACUUGGAUUUAUCUGGAUGAUAUUUUCAAGAGAAGCGCAAAGUGAGCUCCUGGGAGACGAAGACCUUUAGGAUCAUGAACUACAACCUGGAUAUUUUGUUUAUUAGAAAAGACACCAGAUAAAAGACUCUUUGCAGCCCUGAUGGAAAGGAUCAUACCAGGGUAAGCAUCUCUUCCUGGGAACUAAGGAUUAAUUACCAAUCUACUGUGCUCACCUUGUGACCACUGACCUGCUAACCAGUGAUCUGCUCUGCCACCUAAGCAUCUUGUGACAAUUGUAGAUGGGACAUUCCUGUCAUAUGGGAUGUAUGCUCUUUGUUCCAAGACAGUAUAUAACCACUCAUACACUCCACUUCUUUGGUGCUCUUCAUUCCUUGGGAAGGAAGGCCCUGGGCUAGGCCUCAGAUCUGGCUCAUAAUAAACUCACCCCAAUUUUGAUUUAUAGAUUGAUUAUGGAUUAUUUGCAUUGACAAAGUGAAGUGAAAGUCACCCUGAAAGUGCU